UACGAAGGGGGCUAGCGUUGCUCGGAAUCACUGGGCGUAAAGGGCGCGUAGGCGGCCAUUCAAGUCGGGGGGUGAAAGCCUGUGGCUCAACCACAGAAUUGCCUUCGAUACUGUUUGGCUUGAGUUUGGUAGAGGUUGGUGGAACUGCGAGUGUAGAGGUGAAAUUCGUAGAUAUUCGCAAGAACACCAGUGGCGAAGGCGGCCAACUGGACCAACACUGACGCUGAGGCGCGAAAGCGUGGGGAGCAAACAGGG
rnacentral:rRNA from 1 species